rnacentral:rRNA from 1 species
UACGGAGGGUGCAAGCGUUGUCCGGAAUCACUGGGCGUAAAGGGCGCGUAGGCGGCUCGGUAAGUAGGGGGUGAAAUCCUGCGGCUUAACCGCAGGGCUGCCUUCUAAACUGUCGAGCUUGAGCACGGUAGAGGCAGAUGGAAUUCCCGGUGUAGCGGUGGAAUGCGUAGAGAUCGGGAAGAACAUCAGUGGCGAAGGCGGCUCGCUGGACCGGUUCUGACGCUGAGGCGCGAAAGCGUGGGGAGCAAACAGG